GAAUACCCUUCAGACGAGCCAUUUGCUCCAUACAUUCACGGAGCACUGUUGAUCUCAUCUUGAAUGGUGCCUUUUGCGACAACUGCAAGUAAGUAUUAUCUAAGACGACAUUUACAUUCCAAAUACAAAGACGCCAUGUUGAUUUGAUGUCUUUCCACUUGCCUGGAAAAUAGACACACAUGGGGGACCUUCUGUGGCUCAGAGCCCCCAAUGAGGCUGUAACAGUUUUCAUGGCAGAAAUGCAGGAGGGAGUCAAAUUAUUAUUGAUUAGCCGUAAGAGCCAGAAAUAAUGGCAUGUUGUGUCAAUUUAGAUACAGUAAUUACCUGCCGGUGCUAGCUGCAUACCUGCCAUCUUGGUCUUUGCGUUUGACAAUGGUCACUUGUGUUGAUAUUGAUGUGUGACCAUGCUCGUCACUCAAUUUACCGAACAGAAUAUCAAAUUAUUUUUGCUCAUUGAAGUCCAAGGUGUAUCUCGCCUAUGGCCCAGUCGUCUGGGCUACCGGCUUCAAAAGAGAACAAGCUGCAUCGAAAAUGGAAAGAUGGAUGGAAGUUAACUUGAUUCUGAUGGUUUCUUAUUUUAACGUCCUUUAUAUUUGUGUCUGACCUUGUUGUCUGUUUGCCUUAACCGUGAUAGUCACAUAGAUUACAAUGUCUGUCUUGCCUUUGAACAAGGUCAGAUGGUUGCCAGUGCAAGAUAGCGGGAGGGAGCGUGAAGUAAAAGACGCAUGGAAGUGAGACAGGCCAAGAGGAUGCAGCAAAGACAACACUGAGUGGUGGUCAUGUGGCGUGACUGAAGCAAGGCACUCAUCCUGUCUUCAACUACUGUAAAGUAUGGCUGAGUCAGCGAAAUUGCCCUGAAUUGUCAUGUGUAUGUGAACAUGGCAUUGGUAAUCACCUUCACCUCUCUAACACACACCCCGAGCCUCCCCGCCUUCCUUCUAGCUCUCUCUCUCUCUCUCUUCUUCAUCCCCUCUCUCCCUCUGCAGUACCUUCCGCACUCAUUUCUCUCCUCGCCGGCCGUGGAAACGUUCGCUUUCUGCUCCUCUGCCUGGCCGCUCUGCGCCAGCAUCCCUUAUUGUGCCUCUUUCUCACAGACUGCAUCCAGCACUGCUCCAGCCUACAUCUCCCCUCUGUGUGGCUUGCCGGCUGGUGCGCUUCCCUGACAGAUCCCUCUGCUGCCAGAGUGUUGAGGCUAUAUCUGACUCCACGGCACGUCGUCAAACAGCUUCUGCACUGCCUUUUUUUUUUUUUUUUUGGCUUGCUGGAUCACCACUCAGACUCCUGACCGAAGACAGAAAGAGAGAGAGAGUGGGCGAGUGAGAGGGGAAGACAGGGACACAAACAAAGGGCCAGGGGGGGGGACGCAUUCCCCAGCCUGGACAGAACUCUUUACGCGUCCCGGGGACAGGGGGGGGGGAGGGGGGGCAAAAGGAGGGACUGAAAGCACGACCAUCUUUCUCCAAAGACCUGUAAGAGAGCCACAUUUUGUUUUUGGCCAGAUUCAACUGUGACAGGACAAGGGCAACAUUCAGAAUAGGGAAAAACAAAAGGAUUCGGACAAGAUUAUUGGUGUCAUGGCGUCAUUGGACAGCACCGGUGUGCCAGGUCUGCUGUUUGCGCUGCUGCUCGUCUUUGAUUCAGAUGUGCUGCACGUUCGUGGACUGGAGGUAACAACAGGAAAAGUGUCAUCAAUUGAAGCGAUGAAUGGCUCCACCGUGCUGUUACCCUGCACCUUCUCAUCCUGCAUUGGCAUUCACCAGCUCUACUUCAGCUGGCAUUAUAACAACGGCACAAUGCAAAAGUUAUGCGAUGGGGUGAUUCCGAGCGAAGUUGCGGAGCCCAGGGUGAAAGUGCAACACCCGCGAAUAGAGUUUGUAGGCUCUUCCAAGAAACACAAUAUUUCUGUCCUGCUGUGGAAUAUCACCUUUGAAGAUGAAGGAGAGUACACCUGUUUUGCAAGAAACCCGAAAGAGAAGUACCGCAACCACAGCACUGUUUUCACUCUCUAUGUGGUGGAUCAAAUGAGGGAGGUUGACAAUACGUUAACUGUCAUCAUUGUCUCUGUGUUGGGCGGAGUCAUUGGCAUAGUUAUCAUCGUGAUGGUGAUAAAGGCCUUGGUGGUCCAAUUCCUGCUGAAGGAUGAUGAAAAGAAGGAUGGGAUCGGGAGCGAGGAGAAGCAGCAGUAAAACAGGCCAAAUUCAACAAGCGAACCUCCAAACUGUCCUAAAGGCAAAAUGGCCCCACAGCAACGCAAGUAAAGAGUGCCUGGUAAAUGCCUCAGGGAACGACAAUACCGAAAAUGGACUUACAGGAGCCAAAGCUGACAACAAAGGAACACCAAAGGCAUGAGCAAAAACGCAACGUUAUGUUUGUAUAUAUGUUACAAGAUGUUACAAAUGUACACUCUCAAGUACACUAAGCAAAUGUACAGCUCCAUCAUUGCUUCAAUGGAAAAAAAACGAUCUGCAGAAGGAUGGGCCACACUUGUCUACAUGACAGCCUAUUUGUUGCAGUGUUCAGCGCCCGUAUCAUCAAACUCUGCAGUCUUUCACAAGUAGUUCCCUAUGCUAAAUGUACUAAACUCAGUCAAUAUCCUGCUUAUUCUUUUUGAUGAUUAGUCUUGCGCUAACAUGAAACUGAACACGAGUGAAACCGAGCAAAGAUGCUUUCGUUGGAAUCAUUGAAGAGUACAAAAUAGCUGAAAUGCCUCUCCCAAACCGGCAUUUAAAUGUUUGGAGCUACACAGUGUUGAAUUUGAUAGCAAGUGUGCCUCACAGUCAAAAGUUAAGGGUUCGAGUUGUGGCUUAGACUUUUCAGUGAGGAGUUUGUAUGUUUUCCACACUUGCAUGAGGUUUUCUUUGCAUAUUCCCAUCUUCCAAAACCAUGCAAGUCCAGCUAGUUGAAUAAUCUAAAUUGGAUUGUGAAUGGUUUUAUGAUCAUUGUGUACCCCGCCUCAUGCCCAAAGUCAACGGUGAUAAGACUACAGCUCACAUGUAAUUUUGAACCCAGUGCGCAAUAGAAGAUGUAUGAAUGGAUCGUUGGAUGGAUAAGUGGUGUUCUUUUUUGAAGAACAAGUCUUUUUUUUCUCUAAAAUUCAGAAAAUUGUAUUGUCCAAAUCUCGAUUUCAAUUCAGGUCAUUAAAACUGAAAGUCAGGGGUGAUCCUGGGAUCAGGAGUUUAGGGAUGCAUGCACGCACACGUGCACGUGCACGUGCGCGUACACACACACAGACACACACACACACACACACACACACACACACACACACAUACACACACACACACACACACUUAUAUUUAAGUUGUCAAAUAGCAAUGAGUCAUGCACGGGCCUUGCACACAAACAAUACAGCACUUUACCACUGUUUGGAGUGGCUGCACAAAUCAACUUAAAUCCAUUCUUAUUUUAUUAGAAAACAAUUUGAACAAUGAAAAAAAAAUCUGAAAAUCUAAUUUGCCAUAGUUCCGUUAAGAGAAUGUGUCAACAGCCAUGCAUUUGUUUUAUUGUUCACAUUUCUCACUCUGGCCAACUGGCCACUUUCUUAUUUGUGUUAUGUCUUUUCCUCCUUGCUUUCAAUGGAAGCAAUAAUAAAGAAAUUGUUAUGCAAUAAUAUGUUAAAGAUCACUUUGGAAGUGUGUCAGGACAAAAGGCCUGUUGAAGGCUUUGUCAAUGAUGGGCAGGGUGGUAAAGUGUCUUAGUGGGCCGAUGCCUUGAAUAUAUUUUAUUGGGCAUAACUUGAUAGAAUCCAAUAAUUAAUGAAGACGUAUAAGAUGUUCCGGCCAGUGAUGUCUCACUUUACUUGAGGUAAGACAACCCAACAAUGACUCUGGUUAGUGUCCUCAAUAGUGCAAAUAAUACGCAAUGAAAUCAACUUAAAGUAAACAUUGCCUUAUUCUAGCUAGUAACAACUUUGUCUUUUUGAAUGUAUCCAGUUGUGAAUGUUAAAAUGCAAUAUCAUAAAGUGUAUUGGUCUGUCGCGUUUCAUCAAUACUAUUGGACAAAUGUAUUGGGACAGACUUCGUCUGUCUCGUCCUUGCCAUUACUUUGGUGGCACACAUAAUUGCAGAGCCACCAUCGAUACCAUUUUCUCGAUACUUGCAAUAAAGAGAUGGAUUACAAAUGUUAAGUGUUACCGUUUACCAGUUUGACAUUUACCAUUUGAGCAGCAAAAAAGGUCUGAUUGAAAUUAUUUCCUUCAGUUUGACAGAUUUCUUCACAUAAACAAAAGAUGCCAUUUGUAUGUAAUAGCUGAUUAAUCACUUUAAUGUAACGUAAUGGCAGGUUUUCAAAUUACUGUAGACUUAUACGCUUUGUUCGUGAUAUAAGUGAUGACAUAUGAAAGUAUUGCCAGUAGCAACUGAUGUAAUAAGGGUACAAACAUCCCAAAAGAGGCAGUAUGGUGGAGUUAAACAUACAUCAUAUACCUCAAACAUAAAGCGCACAAAACAGUCUGUUUGCUGUCUUAGUUCCUGAUUUUUGUGUUCUGAAUACAAAAAAAAGCCAAUUUGGUUGUCCGUGGUGACCUCAUGUCAAAGUUCUAGCAACGUUUAAUAUGGGUAUGCCAUACAUUCUCAAUUGUGGUGCUCAUCCCACACACGAGUGUGCUCCUUCUGAAUGGCACUUAAAAAGGGAAAUAAAGAGAGGAGUUGUAUAAAAGAUACCGGCAAGAUGGGCUGUUAUCGCAGAUAAUAUUGUGAUCAUUUAUUAUCAUUUGAAGGCCAAUAUUUACAUCCACCACAAAAAAGUCAUAUUUAAUUAUGUCAUUUAGGGAGAUAUAAUUCAUAUUUAAUGAUGACAUAUGUGGAUGGAAACUCAUUCACCCUUUGUCCUUUUCCUCAUUUUGACCCGUUCUGUUUUUCUGCACUAAGAGAACACGACUUAUCGUCAGCCGACUGUGUACAACCCCUGCUGCAGUACUGGGGUAUACUCUAGGUAUAAUAUCCAUCUCGUCAACUUGACAUGAGAAGCCUGUUGUCUGAACUCAAUUAGUUCGUCAAUUAAGUGUUUUACAUAUUGGAGACACAUUAUUCUACAAGGCAAAAUGUAGUGUUUUCACAUCCCGUUUAUUCGGCUACAAUACAAGUGUAACAAUGCAUUUAUACAUAGUUCUGCAAGUGAUAGGAAUGACUUUUUUGUCUCUUUUGGUCGGAUUGUUUGUCCCAUGUCUUUGCCACAUAUUUUUAAAGUUUUUAUUCAAUUGAAAGAUUAUUAGGGCAAGGGACCACAAAAAUGGAACUAUUGAGGCAAAACAAUUUAGGAGAAAAAAAUGGGAAAAGACCGUGAUGUCUUCUUAUGGUAAAUUAUUUAAACUGCCAAGCAACUGGAGCUCAUACUGCCAGUCCAGGAGUCUUGUGGCUUCCCAAAUAUUACAGAGACACCUUUUAAACAUACAGCAAUCGAAUAGAAAAGAUCAUUGUAACAACUGUUACUGAAUUGCAACAGCCUGCAUGUGGCCUAAGCAGUGGUCCCCAACCUUUUUUGCCCCACGGACUGGUUUAAUGUCAGACAAUAUUUUCAGAGACCGGCCUUUAAGGCCGGAUAAAUACAACAAAAUAAUAUGAUACGACCUGCAUUAAAACGGUACUAUUUUCGUAACAUAAUAAUAAACACGAAUCAUGACACCAGGAACGUCCGAUCUGGCCGCACCACUCUCUGGUAGUCAUGUUAAUGUUUAAACCUGCCUUCAAAAUAAGAUACAGCGCAAAUAUAAAGCGAGUGAAAAAUACGACUCACCACCGCCGCACAUUAUCCAAAGUGGGCUUGGUGCGUGGGAAUUUCCCGUUGAGCUAAAGCCGUAUUUUAAGUAGGACGACUAAUAGUGUGGAUUAAAGGUAUCCUACCUUUUCUUGAAAGUCAUAGGCCUCUCUUUGGUCUCCUGGCCGAGCCUUUUCCCCUUCCUAUAGAACCUUUCCAAAGAUGUUUGGGGGGGAGGGUUUUUUCACUCAUUUUGCUAGCUCCAGGUUUCAUUUCAGUGGUAACCUAUCACGUGACCAAGAAGCGCACCUUGACCUGUGUCAUGGGUGACAUAUUGUAGAGAGAUGUAACAGAGAAUCCGGUAAUAUUUCUAAAUAAAAUAUCUUUCAGAUUCUAAAAUAAAUAAAACGGAAUUAAGGUAAGUUAUUUAUUUUCUCUGUGCGGUUCGGUACCAAAUGACCCACGGACCGGUAUCAGUCUACGGCCCGGGGGUUGGGGACCACUGGCCUAAGGUACUUCAUCACUGCCCACACUGCCAAGUCUACUCCCACAUUCCGUUCAAAUUCAACGAUCAAAUCACGGAUCAAUGCACUUCAAAUGAAAUAUUAACUAUUACAAUGGGUUAAAAAAAAACAAUAGUCUAUAUCCUUACUUUAGAACAAAACUAAAUAUUCUCCCUUGUGAUGGAACAAAAUGUUUUUUUUAAACACAAACUUUACAAUUCCUAAUUGUUUGAUGCAAUUGUUUGUAUUUCGAUUCCAACUGUACUGUCUAUUGAAUAUUCACCACCCACACAUGUAACCCCAGAUUUCCUGGAAUAAUAAUCCUCAAUGUCACUCUUUGUCUCCCUCUAGUCAUGCCGCUCAUGUUCACCUCAUGACUAUGCACUUAUAACUUGACUUGUUUAGGAAAUAUAAUGAUGUAAAUAAAAACACUGUAAAUGCCAGAGAACGCUGGUGUCAGUGCCUGUUUGUGAAAUAAAACAUCUGACGCAUU